rnacentral:rRNA from 1 species
AUUGAACGCUGGCGGCAUGCCUUACACAUGCAAGUCGAACGGCAGCACGGGUGCUUGCACCUGGUGGCGAGUGGCGAACGGGUGAGUAAUACAUCGGAACGUACCUUAUCGUGGGGGAUAACGCAGCGAAAGCUGUGCUAAUACCGCAUACGCCCUGAGGGGGAAAGCGGGGGAUCGAAAGACCUCGCGCGACUAGAGCGGCCGAUGCCUGAUUAGCUUGUUGGUGGGGUAAAAGCCCACCAAGGCGACGAUCAGUAGCUGGUCUGAGAGGACGAUCAGCCACACUGGGACUGAGACACGGCCCAGACUCCUACGGGAGGCAGCAGUGGGGAAUUUUGGACAAUGGGGGCAACCCUGAUCCAGCAAUGCCGCGUGAGUGAAGAAGGCCUUCGGGUUGUAAAGCUCUUUUGUCAGGGAAGAAACACCGGCUCUAACACAGUCCGGGAAUGACGGUACCUGAAGAACAAGCACCGGCUAACUAUGUGCCAGCAGCCGCCGUAA